UCUUGUUGCCAUCCCGGGUAGAGCCGUACGUUAAAUGGGCGCACUUCCUACUGUAACUGCAGAGGUCACAAGCAAAGAGUAAGCAAUCAGCGAAGAACAAAGCAGGGCUGCUAUGACCUGAACUAUUUUGGCACGGAUGGACAUCUGUGUACAUGUUUCAGCUCAAACAGAAGUUGCUGGAUUACUGGAAUUGCUGGCAGUGAAACUGGGCCCUGUUACACGUCAAACAAUACGGGGUUGUAACAAUCUGAUUUGAAAAUCUGUUUACUCUUGCAGCUUCACGGAAAUUGCUCAGAUCUGUGUGUGUAAACCAAACCUCCAUCUGAUCAGCGCUACGUUCUCAUGCUCUCUGACCUUCUCGCUGUCAUUUUAAGUAUCAACUGGUGGUGCAGUCUGCAGAUUGUAUUCCCAGGAGACUACAUUGCUUCCCAGCUGCCUUUCUUUGGUUUCCUGUUCUGUGGGGAUACAGUCAGAGACCAGAGAAGAUCAGGAGCUUAGUGUUAUGGCAGCCAUUUCCAGAAAGUCGCAGAACAACAACUUUUCCCACAAAGGGGAGAAACACAGACAAGGACCGGACUCUUAACAUACAUGCAUUUUAAAACAAAAUGUGGUAAGUAAAAUCCUCUCUCUCAUGAUGCACCUGUGUCAUUAAGUCAUGCUUUAAUUAUAUUCUUGGUUAGGAGGUACAGUCUGUAGUUCCCCAUUUUUUUCAUUAACUUCCCCUUCAGACCAGAAAAUGUGCUGGCUUAGAGGCAGAGCAGGACUUCGGACUUUGACCAUAUCUUGCUAGAGCUGAAAAUGACAAGACGUAAGAAAUUCUUAACCAAAUUCAGGUUGUAAGAUAAUGACACAGAAUCAUCAACUGAAGAAAAACAAAAAACAUUCAAUACCUUAUUUGGUUUUGCUUUGGUAUAGGAAGUGAGGGAAACCAAAAAGAAAAGUCUGCAUAUCAGGAUAUGUGCUAUCCCUCAUUGCUCUUCCUACUCAUAAAUACCAAUUUUCAGUUUCUCAUUCUAUGGGGUUUUCUAGUAUUUAUGAAUGGAAAGCAAGAAUGCCUGGUAUCUAGGCUACGAUCUUCAGAGUAGCCACUUAUUUUUUCUACACACAAGCCCUGUCACUGGAAAUGUCCUACUUAUUGCACCAAUUAAGAUUUCCUCUUUCUUCUUCUGCCAAGCAGUUGCCACACUGUCAGCCAGCUGAGGGACUCCACCACAAAUAAUUACGCAUGACUAGUUAAAUGAACAGGUAGCUGCACAAAGUCUCGCUUCGGAGAGGCUGUCAGUCACCGC